UACGGUAGGGCGCAAGCGUUUGUCCGGAAUUAUUGGGCGUAAAGAGCUCGUAGGCGGCUUGUCACGUCGGGUGUGAAAGCCCGGGGCUUAACCCCGGGUCUGCAUUCGAUACGGGCUGGCUAGAGUGUGGUAGGGGAGAUCGGGAAUUCCUGGUGUAGCGGUGAAAUGCGCAGAUAUCAGGAGGAACACCGGUGGCGAAGGCGGGUCUCUGGGCCGAUACUGACGCUGAGGAGCGAAAGCGUGGGGAGCGAACAGG
rnacentral:rRNA from 1 species